UUUUUUUUUUUUUUUUUUUUUUUUGUGCCCUUUCUCAUAAACUCUUUUGUAGAUAAAAAAAAUAAAAACGACAAAGAAAAUAUAAUAACAAAUAAAAGACUUAUAAGUACACAAGUUUUAAAUGAUAAAGUAAUAAAAAAAUGUAAUUCUAUAAAUAACGAUAAUAGUAAUAAUAUAAACAAUAAUGAUAGUAGUAUUGAAAUAAAAGAAAAACGAGUAGAGAAAGAAACAAUACCAGAGACUAAUGAAAAUGUUGAAGCUGUUCCUGUUUCCGUUCCUGUUCCCGUUCCUGUUGCUGUUCCUGUUGCCGCUCCUGUUGCCGUUCCUGUUUCCGCUCCUGUUCCCGUUCCUGUUGCCGCUCCUGUUGCCGCUCCUGUUAUAUAUAAUGUUAACAAUGAAACUUAUAACUUAAAAAUUUCGCAUAUCAAAGAUGAUAAAGACGGAGUAGGUUUGUUCGAAUUGGAAGAACAAAAAUAUAAAACUGACAAUGGUAGCAACAACAUUGGCAACAGUAACAACAUUCUUGAUAGUUUUGCUAGUAGUAGUAGUAGUAGCAGUAAUAGUAGUAGUACUAAUGAUAGUGCAAACUUAAGUAUAAAUAAUUGUACUCCUAGCAGCAUGAGAAAGAAUAAAAGUAAACAAACUGAUAAAAGUAAUGAAAAAAAUAAAAAAAUAAAUGAAGGUGAACAAAGACAAUUAAGCUACAAUAAAAAUGUUAUAAUAGAUACAAUAAAUGAAGAGGCGAAGGAUUAUGUGAAAAUAAAAAGCAACAAUGAUAGUAUAACCGAAAGGGGAAAAAAUAUUAGUAGACUAAACGAAUGUAAAAACAAAAUAUACAUUCCAUUACACAAUUAUGAAGAAGGAGAAAAAAAUUAUUUAAAUGAAAUAAAUUUUAACGGUAACACAAAAAAUGCAACUGAUAACCAUGAAUUUUACAAAUCAAACAAUAACAACAUAUUUAACGAAUUUUUUGACCAAACAGAUUACGAAUUGGCACAAAAAUUAUUACAAAAUUGUAAUUUCUUUUUUAAUAAUAAUAUAAUAAAUCAUAAAAUUAAUUAUCAACACUUUUUAACUUGUAUAAAAAUUCACAGAACAUUUAUUUUACCAUUGUUAAAGGAAAAGGAUUAUGAAAAAUUAACACAGUUUUUUUUAAAUGCAUUUGCAAAUAAAGCUCCAAACAAAAAUGAAGAUAGUAGUGUUGCUUGCAAUUACAAACACACAAUUGAUGAUAAUCAUUACCUUAAUAAAGAAAUAAAUAUUAAUGUACAUACUUCUGUUGCCACUCUAGAACAUCCUAAUAAAAUGUCAUAUGUUAUGAAGGAUGGAAGGGUAAAUGAAGGUUGUUUUAUUAGUCAUAUGUUUGAGAAUGUAGCUAGCGAAAAAAAAAUUAGCGAAAAAAGAAUUAGCGAAAAAAGAAUCAGCGAAAAAAGAAUUAGCGAAAAAAGAAUUAGCGAAAAAAGAAUUAGCGAAAACAAGGUUGACACAAAAAAAAAAGAAAGUACUAAUGACAAACCGAUUGCUGAGUAUUCUAAAAACGUAGCAGUUGACCAUGCUAUUGUUAGUACUACUGGAAGUAAGGAAUUUAACACGGCAGAAGUAGUCGAGCUAAGUAAACAUCAUUUUUCAACAAAUGAAGAUACAAUAUAUGAACUACUACGUUCGUAAUUACUAUUUUUUAAAGAUGAAUAGAAAAGAAAAAAAAAAGAGGGAAAAGCUUUUUAGGUAUUUACUUAGAUUCAUAAGAACGUUUAAAAAAAUAAAGAAUGAAAAAAAAAUGAACGAGCA
ensembl:lncRNA